rnacentral:rRNA from 1 species
GAGUUUGAUCCUGGCUCAGAGCGAACGCUGGCGGCGUGCCUAACACAUGCAAGUCGAACGUGAAAUGUAGCAAUACAGAGUAAAGUGGCGUACGGGUGAGUAACGCGUAGGUAAUCUACCCUAAAAUCCGGAAUAACCGGCCGAAAGGCUGGCUAAUACCAGAUAGAGCGACGGGGAUCCGUAAUUGGGUCUUUCGGGAAAGGGGGGCAGCAAUGUCUCUCGUUUUAGGAUGAGCCUGCGUCUCAUUAGCUAGUUGGUGGGGUAACGGCCCACCAAGGCUUUGAUGGGUAGCUGGUCUGAGAGGAUGAUCAGCCACACUGGAACUGAAACACGGUCCAGACUCCUACGGGAGGCAGCAGUGGGGAAUCUUGCGCAAUGGACGAAAGUCUGACGCAGCCACGCCGCGUGAGUGAAGAAGGCCU